AGAGUUUGAUCCUGGCUCAGAACGAACGCUGGCGGCAGGCUUAACACAUGCAAGUCGACGCGCCCCGCAAGGGGAGCGGCAGACGGGUGAGUAACGCGUGGGAAUCUACCCAUCUCUACGGAAUAACGCAUGGAAACGUGUGCUAAUACCGUAUACGUCCUUCGGGAGAAAGAUUUAUCGGAGAUGGAUGAGCCCGCGUUGGAUUAGCUAGUUGGUGGGGUAAAGGCCUACCAAGGCGACGAUCCAUAGCUGGUCUGAGAGGAUGAUCAGCCACACUGGGACUGAGACAACGGCCCAGACUCCUACGGGAGGCAGCAGUGGGGAAUAUUGGACAAUGGGCGCAAGCCUGAUCCAGCCAUGCCGCGUGAGUGAUGAAGGCCCUAGGGUUGUAAAGCUCUUUCACCGGUGAAGAUAAUGACGGUAACCGGAGAAGAAGCCCCGGCUAACUUCGUG
rnacentral:rRNA from 1 species